rnacentral:rRNA from 1 species
GUGCCAGCCGCCGCGGUAAUACGGGGGGAGCAAGCGUUACUCGGAAUCACUGGGCGUAAAGGACGCGUAGGCGGCCCGGUAAGUCAGGUGUGAAAUCCUAUAGCUUAACUAUAGAACUGCACUUGAAACUGCCGGGCUAGAGUAUGGAAGGGGCAGAUGGAAUUAGUGGUGUAGGGGUAAAAUCCGUAGAGAUCACCAGGAAUACCCAUUGCGAAGGCGAUCUGCUGGAACGGUACUGACGCUGAGGCGCGAAAGCGUGGGGAGCAAACAGGAUUAGAUACCCUGGUAGUCCACGCCCUAAACGAUGGAUGCUAGUCGUUGGGAAGCUAGUCUUCCCAGUGAUGCAGCUAACGCAUUAAGCAUCCCGCCUGGGGAGUACGGCCGCAAGGCUAAAACUCAAAGGAAUAGACGGGGACCCGCACAAGCGGUGGAGCAUGUGGUUUAAUUCGAAGAUACGCGAAGAACCUUACCUGGGCUUGACAUCCCUGGAAUCCCCCAGAGAUGGGGGAGUGCCUCCUUAUGGAGGAGCCAGGUGACAGGUGCUGCACGGCUGUCGUCAGCUCGUGUCGUGAGAUGUUGGGUUAAGUCCCGCAACGAGCGCAACCCUCGUCCUUAGUUGCCAGCACUUAGGGUGGGCACUCUAAGGAGACUGCCCGGGUAACCGGGAGGAAGGUGAGGAUGACGUCAAGUCAUCAUGGCCCUUAUGCCCAGGGCGACACACGUGCUACAAUGGCGCGUACAGAGAGAGGCGAUACCGCGAGGUGGAGCAAAUCUCUAAAGCGCGUCCCAGUUCGGAUUGCAGUCUGCAACUCGACUGCAUGAAGUCGGAAUCGCUAGUAAUCGCGGAUCAGCCAUGCCGCGGUGAAUACGUUCCCGGGUCUUGUACUCACCGCCCGUCACACCAUGGGAGUUGAGCUCACCCGAAGCCGGGGGACCGACCCUUUAAGGGGGGACCCUCGUCGACGGUGGGCUCAGCGACUGGGGUGAAGUCGUAACAAGGUAGCC